UACAGAGGGUGCGAGCGUUAAUCGGAAUUAUUGGGCGUAAAGGGCGCGUAGGCGGCUUUUCAAGUGACGGGUGAAAUCCCUCGGCUUAACCGAGGAACUGCCUGUCAGACUGGAAGGCUUGAGACCGGGAGAGGUGAGUGGAAUUCCCAGUGUAGCGGUGAAAUGCGUAGAUAUUGGGAGGAACACCAGUGGCGAAGGCGGCUCACUGGACCGGAACUGACGCUGAGGCGCGAAAGCGUGGGGAGCGAACAGG
rnacentral:rRNA from 1 species